rnacentral:rRNA from 1 species
GCAUAAUCAUUAGUCUUUUAAUUGAAGGCUGGUAUGAAUGGUUGGAUGAGGUACAAGCUGUGUCAUAAAAAUUAAUUUUUGAAUUUACCUUUUUAGUCAAAAGGCUAAAAUAUCAUUAAAAGACGAGAAGACCCUAUAGAGCUUUAUAUAAUUUGUAUUAAAAUUAUUAAGAUUUUUUAAAUUUAAUUAUUUUAUUAUAUUUUGUUGGGGUGACAGUAAAAUUUAUAAAACUUUUAUUUUUAUUAGCCAUUUAUUUAUGAGUAUAUGAUCCAGUUUUAUUGAUUAUAAAUUUAAGUUACCUUAGGGAUAACAGCGUAAUUUUUUUUGAGAGUUCUUAUCGA